GACGUAGGGCGCGAGCGUUGUCCGGAUUUAUUGGGCGUAAAGAGCUCGUAGGCGGCUUGUCGCGUCGACUGUGAAAACCCGCGGCUUUAACUGCGGGCUUGCGGUCGAUACGGGCGGGCUGGAGUUCGGGUAGGGGAGACUGGAAUUCCUGGUGUAGCAGUGAAAUGCGUAGAUAUCAGGAGGAAUACCGAUGGCGAAGGCAGGUCUCUGGGCUGACACUGACGCUCAUGCACGAAAGGCGUGGGGGGCAAACAGG
rnacentral:rRNA from 1 species